AUUGAACGCUGGCGGCAUGCCUUACACAUGCAAGUCGAACGGUAACAGGUCUUCGGAUGCUGACGAGUGGCGAACGGGUGAGUAAUACAUCGGAACGUGCCUAGUAGUGGGGGAUAACUACUCGAAAGAGUGGCUAAUACCGCAUGAGAUCUACGGAUGAAAGCAGGGGAUCGCAAGACCUUGUGCUACUAGAGCGGCCGAUGGCAGAUUAGGUAGUUGGUGGGAUAAAAGCUUACCAAGCCGCCGAUCUGUAGCUGGCCUGAGAGGACGAUCAGCCUCACUGGGACUGCGACACGGCCCAGACUCCUACGGGAGGCAGCAGUGGGGAAUUUUGGACAAUGGGCGCAAGCCUGAUCCAGCAAUGCCGCGCGCAGGAUGAAGGCCUUCGGGUUGUAAACUGCUUUUGUACGGAACGAAAAGCCCUGGGUUAAUACCCUGGGGUCAUGACGGUACCGUAAGAAUAAGCACCGGCUAACUACGUGCCAGCAGCCGCCGCCGUAA
rnacentral:rRNA from 1 species